AGCGAACGCUGGCGGCAGGCCUAACACAUGCAAGUCGAACGGAUCCUUCGGGAUUAGUGGCGGACGGGUGAGUAACACGUGGGAACGUGCCCUUUGGUUCGGAACAACUCAGGGAAACUUGAGCUAAUACCGGAUGUGCCCUUCGGGGGAAAGAUUUAUCGCCAUUGGAGCGGCCCGCGUCUGAUUAGCUAGUUGGUGAGGUAAAGGCUCACCAAGGCGACGAUCAGUAGCUGGUCUGAGAGGAUGAUCAGCCACAUUGGGACUGAGACACGGCCCAAACUCCUACGGGAGGCAGCAGUGGGGAAUCUUGCGCAAUGGGCGAAAGCCUGACGCAGCCAUGCCGCGUGAAUGAUGAAGGUCUUAGGAUUGUAAAAUUCUUUCACCGGGGACGAUAAUGACGGUACCCGGAGAAGAAGCCCCGGCUAACUUCGUGCCAGCAGCCGCGGUAAUACGAAGGGGGCUAGCGUUGCUCGGAAUUACUGGGCGUAAAGGGAGCGUAGGCGGACUGUUAAGUUAGAGGUGAAAGCCCAGGGCUCAACCUUGGAAUUGCCUUUGAUACUGGCAGUCUUGAGUACGGAAGAGGUAUGUGGAACUCCGAGUGUAGAGGUGAAAUUCGUAGAUAUUCGGAAGAACACCAGUGGCGAAGGCGGCAUACUGGUCCGUUACUGACGCUGAGGCUCGAAAGCGUGGGGAGCAAACAGG
rnacentral:rRNA from 1 species